rnacentral:lncRNA from 1 species
AUGUCCCCAAACUACCUCCUGAGUCCAAAUAUGCGGUUGUCUCCAAUGUCAGAUGCUCAGUUUUCUCCAUAUGUUGGUGGAAUGGCGUUUUCUCCUUCUUCAUCUCCAGGCUACAGCCCAUCUUCUCCUGGUUACAGUCCUACUUCUCCUGGUUACAGUCCGACUUCACCUGGAUACAGUCCGACUUCUCCUGGCUAUAGUCCCACUUCUCCCACGUACAGUCCUAGUUCUCCUGGCUAUAGCCCAACUAGCCCUGCUUAUUCUCCAACAAGUCCUUCAUAUUCUCCCACCUCCCCUAGCUACAGCCCAACGUCUCCUAGCUACAGCCCAACGUCUCCAAGCUACAGUCCAACGUCUCCAAGCUACAGCCCAACAUCCCCGAGUUACAGUCCAACUUCACCUGCUUACAGUCCAACUUCUCCUGCAUACAGCCCAACGUCACCUGCAUACAGCCCUACCUCUCCAUCUUACAGUCCAACUUCACCAUCUUACAGUCCGACAUCGCCUUCUUACAGCCCUACUUCACCCUCCUACAGUCCAACAUCUCCUUCUUACAGCCCUACUUCACCUGCAUACAGCCCUACGUCUCCUGGCUACAGCCCUACAUCUCCAAGCUACAGUCCAACGUCUCCUAGUUACGGUCCGACAUCUCCAAGCUACAACCCUCAGUCUGCUAAAUACAGUCCAUCUCUGGCUUACUCUCCUAGCAAUGCAAGACUAUCACCAGCUAGCCCUUACAGUCCUACAUCUCCAAACUACAG